rnacentral:lncRNA from 1 species
GCUCAGAUCAAGCAAGACUGAUAUCAUGUGGUUUGACUGGAAGAAGACAGCUAGGAGGAUGCAGCAGGUUCUAAUGUUACUGAUGAACUGCUGCAUCAACAGCGCUGUCCUAGGACAGCCCAGCAAAGGUCCUAAAACAAGAUAAAAAUGAAAGUGUAUCUUUCCAUUUCCACUUGCCUACAGAGCAAUCUACUGAAUUGUUCAUGAACUGAGGGCAGAAAUUCCAG